rnacentral:rRNA from 1 species
ACACUCCUACGGGAGGCAGCAGUGGGGAAUCUUGCGCAAUGGGCGAAAGCCUGACGCAGCCAUGCCGCGUGAAUGAUGAAGGUCUUAGGAUUGUAAAAUUCUUUCACCGGGGACGAUAAUGACGGUACCCGGAGAAGAAGCCCCGGCUAACUUCGUGCCAGCAGCCGCGGUAAUACGAAGGGGGCUAGCGUUGCUCGGAAUUACUGGGCGUAAAGGGAGCGUAGGCGGACAUUUAAGUCAGGGGUGAAAUCCCGGGGCUCAACCUCGGAAUUGCCUUUGAUACUGGGUGUCUUGAGUAUGAGAGAGGUGUGUGGAACUCCGAGUGUAGAGGUGAAAUUCGUAGAUAUUCGGAAGAACACCAGUGGCGAAGGCGACACACUGGCUCAUUACUGACGCUGAGGCUCGAAAGCGUGGGGAGCAAACAGGAUUAGAAACCCGAGUAGUCCCAU